GGGGAUGUAGCUCAGUGACAGAGUGUUUGCCUAGAUGUGAGAGGCCCUGGGUUCAAUCCCCAGCACCACA
rnacentral:tRNA from 1 species